rnacentral:rRNA from 1 species
AGUAACACGUAGGUAAUCUGCCUUAGAGAUUGGGAUAACUCGGCGAAAGCCGGACUAAUACCAAAUAAUGCAACGACUUUUUCGGGAGAUGUUGUUAAAGCGGGCUUCGGCUCGUACUUUAAGAUGAGCCUGCGUCCGAUUAGCUUGUUGGUAAGGUAAUGGCUUACCAAGGCGAUGAUCGGUAGCUGGUCUGAGAGGACGAUCAGCCACACUGGAAUUGAGAUACGGUCCAG